AGAUGAUCAACCUACUGGUAAUUUGGUAUCCAGUGAUGUUAAUCCAGGUACAAACCCUGUGUAUUUAAAGACAAACAUUUGUUGUAGAACUUGUUGGUAGACCACUCUCUCGUUGGUAUUAGACAUGUACUGUUACCUGAGAAAAACAGUAACUGAAAAGGAGAAAUGAUCAGAUAACCCAAAUCAGGAAUCUUCCAGAGUGCAGAUGUUGCAGUUUUUGUGAGUGAGAUCUCAAGCAUAGCAAAGGAAUCGUACAACCUGUGAAUUCAGUUUAAUUACUGAGAUCAAGGAUGAUGAAACAUUCAUUAUGAUUAUACAGAGCUACAAAGAGUUAUGUUGAGAAUCCAAAUUAUCAUAAUGAAUUGAGACGAGACAAUACUUGGGUAGAAAUUGAGGAAAAAUAUAGAAUAAAAGGCGUUUUUAUAUUAAUGUUAUGAAUCCAAUGUUUUUAUCAAAUCGUCACAUAGAUAAUAUUUCUGUACGCAUAAUACUAAAAUUAAAAAGGUCAGCUUAAAACAACUUUAA